CCUACGGGUGGCAGCAGUGGGGAAUAUUGCACAAUGGGGGAAACCCUGAUGCAGCAACGCAGCGUGAGUGAAGACGUAUUUCGGUAUGUAAAGCUCUAUCAGCAGGGAAGAAGAUGACGGUACCUGAUUAAGAAGCCCCGGCGAACUACGUUCCAGCAGCCGCGGUAAUACGUAGGGGGCAAGCGUUAUCCGGAUUUACUGGGUGUAAAGGGAGCGCAGACGGCAGUGCAAGUCUGGAGUGAAAGUCUGGGGCCCAACCCCGGAACUGCGCUGGCAACUGUGCGGCUAGAGUACUGGAGGGGCAGGCGGAAUUCGUAGUGUAGCGGUGAAAUGCGUAGAUAUUACGAGGAACACCGGUGGCGAAGGCGGCAUGCUGGACAGUAACUGACGUUGAGGCUCGAAAGCGUGGGGAGCAAACAGGAUUAGAUACCCUUGUAGUC
rnacentral:rRNA from 1 species